rnacentral:rRNA from 1 species
UACGUAGGGUGCAAGCGUUGUCCGGAAUUAUUGGGCGUAAAGAGCUCGUAGGCGGUUUGUCGCGUCUGCUGUGAAAACUGGAGGCUCAACCUCCAGCCUGCAGUGGGUACGGGCAGACUAGAGUGCGGUAGGGGAGAUUGGAAUUCCUGGUGUAGCGGUGGAAUGCGCAGAUAUCAGGAGGAACACCGGUGGCGAAGGCGCCACUCUGGGCCAAAACUGACGCUGAGGAGCGAAAGCGUGGGUAGCAAACAGG